CCUCCACCCACAUCCAAACCGCCAACUCUCCUCUGCUAAAUCUUUCUCAUAUCUUAAAUCUUCAAUCCAUUUCUUUCUUCUGAUCGGUUUCAGCAGCAAGAAAAUUCAAGAAACCGAGAGCUCAAUCAAUUGAAUUACAGAAACUGAAUCUGCAAAAUCCAGUGGGCUACUUCUUUCGGUCCUACAAUUUCACAACCAAUAUCGUGUUAUCGAGGUAAAUCUCCUUUCCCGAUCUAAACCUUCAAUCCAUGAACUGCAUAGCAUGUUUUUUUUUAAAACUCAACCAAAUCGCACAAUUCAAAACAGUAACUACGAUAUGGAAUCAAUCUUUUAAUCGUUUAAAUCGAAGCGUACCAAAUUCAAGAAUCAGACUUUAAUUCAUGAAAUCAAUUAGAAACUUACGGGGGGGACUGUUUCGGGGUUGUGCGGGGCUUUUCGGGUUAGUUUCGGGACGUUUCGGGGUUGGUUCGGUGAUGAACGAUGGCUGGAUUGGACGACAGUAGCGGCGGACUCUCAAACCUAGGGGAUCGGCGGCGGAGAAGCUCAUCCUCGUCGCUGGAGAAAGCUGGAGCGAUGCGGCGGCAGAGUUCCUCCACUCCGACAGCGACGACGGUUGCGAAUCACCACGGAAGGCGGAGCUCGGGGAUGAACGCUGAGGAUGAAUUGACGGAAGAAUCAACAGCGGCGUCGGAGCGACUGAUGCGACUGGAGUGGCGUCGGGAAGCUGCUCCGGCAGCAUGAGGCGGAGGAAGGGAAACACCGCUGGAGACGAAAACGGAAGCGGAGGCGGAGGCGGCGCCGGUAAGGUGGCUGUCGACGGAAACUCUGAAAUGGGAAGAGAGAUUUUCUUUCCUAAUUUGUGAAAUUGGGGAAGGAGAUUGAAUAGGUUGUUAGAGAGAGAAACUGUCGGUGUGUGGGUGGAGUAUAUGGAUUAAUAAAUCCUAGAAUUGAGGGCUUCUUUUGUUUCCUAUUUUUUUUGUUUGUUGGGCCACUUAUUUAAUUAGAAUUGGGCUAAUGAUAAUUCAUUUGGGUUUAAUUAGUGAAAA